rnacentral:rRNA from 1 species
AAUAGAUACCCAGGUAGUCCACGCCGUAAACGAUUAGUGCUAAGUGUUAGAGGGUUUCCGCCCCUUUAGUGCUGCAGCUAACGCAUUAAGCACUCCGCCUGGGGAGUACGGCCGCAAGGCUGAAACUCAAAGGAAUUGACGGGGGGCCCGCACAAGCGGUGGAGCAUGUGGUUUAAUUCGAAGCAACGCGAAGAACCUUACCAGGUCUUGACAUCCUCUGCCAACCCUAGAGAUAGGGCGUUCCCCUUCGGGGGACAGAGUGACAGGUGGUGCAUGGUUGUCGUCAGCUCGUGUCGUGAGAUGUUGGGUUAAGUCCCGCAACGAGCGCAACCCUUGAUCUUAGUUGCCAGCAUUUAGUUGGGCACUCUAAGGUGACUGCCGGUGACAAACCGGAGGAAGGUGGGGAUGACGUCAAAUCAUCAUGCCCCUUAUGACCUGGGCUACACACGUGCUACAAUGGAUGGUACAAAGAGCUGCGAACCCGCGAGGGUGAGCGAAUCUCAUAAAGCCAUUCUCAGUUCGGAUUGUAGG